rnacentral:rRNA from 1 species
AGUGAACGCUGGCGGUAGGCCUAACACAUGCAAGUCGAACGGCAGCACAGUAAGAGCUUGCUCUUACGGGUGGCGAGUGGCGGACGGGUGAGGAAUACAUCGGAAUCUACUUUUUCGUGGGGAUAACGUAGGGAAACUUACGCUAAUACCGCAUACGACCUACGGGUGAAAGCAGGGGAUCUUCGGACCUUGCGCGAUUGAAUGAGCCGAUGUCGGAUUAGCUAGUUGGCGGGGUAAAGGCCCACCAAGGCGACGAUCCGUAGCUGGUCUGAGAGGAUGAUCAGCCACACUGGAACUGAGACACGGUCCAGACUCCUACGGGAGGCAGCAGUGGGGAAUAUUGGACAAUGGGCGCAAGCCUGAUCCAGCCAUACCGCGUGGGUGAAGAAGGCCUUCGGGUUGUAAGGCCCUUUUGUUGGGAAAGAAAAGCAGCAGGUUAAUACCCCGCUGUUCUGACGGUACCCAAAGAAUAAGCACCGGCUAACUUCGUG